rnacentral:rRNA from 1 species
UACGUAGGGUGCAAGCGUUGUCCGGAAUUAUUGGGCGUAAAGAGCUCGUAGGCGGUCUGUCGCGUCGGCUGUGAAAACUCGGGGCUCAACCCCGAGCCUGCAGUCGAUACGGGCAGACUAGAGUGCUGUAGGGGAGACUGGAAUUCCUGGUGUAGCGGUGAAAUGCGCAGAUAUCAGGAGGAACACCGGUGGCGAAGGCGGGUCUUUGGGCAACAACUGACGCUGAGGAGCGAAAGCGUGGGGAGCGAACAGG